CGGCCAGCCGGGCCCGGCCCCGCUCAGCUCUCUCCGCGGUCCCGCCGGGCCCUGCUCGCCAACCCCGUGCUGGGCUGAUUGCCGAGGUAGAUGCCACCCACGCACCCCCGCGGCUGGGGAGCGCGAGCUGGAGGAUGCGGAGAGGCCUGAGGCAGGGGGGCCAGGCGCGCGCGCCCUAGGCAGUCUCAGAGGGGCCUGCUGAAGACUGAGGACGGAGGUGGGGGCAACAGGAUGGGGAGCCCGCAAUAGCCCAUCCUGACCUAAUCCGAAAGGACGAGAUCCUGGAGCCGCUCACAAAGUUUUCCGGGCCCCCUCCCACGCGUCGCCUGCACGUAUGUCCGUUUCCCGACGCUCCGCCCUCCCCCGCCAAGUUCGGCGUCUCCCAGCUCAGCGGCAGUCAGGGUGCAGAGGGAGCCCGACCUUGUCCCCGCCUCGGCCCGUCCCGCUUCUUCUGAAGCUUGUUUCAUUUUUAACUCCUUCCAGAAAAAUGUUGUUUUAAGGAAAAUCUCAAAGGAACAAAAAGCCAAUAGUGCCUUCCUUAUUUGCAAUCCCCACCCACCUCUGAGCUCGGACUGCAAGGGCCUCAAGGGACACCAGGUGACACCUGGGCCUUGCUUCUCACGGGUGACCUUGGACCAGAAAGGGUCAUUUUCAGUAAUGGGUAUGGCUGAGACUCUGCUG
rnacentral:lncRNA from 1 species